GACGAACGCUGGCGGCGUGCUUAACACAUGCAAGUCGAACGGAAAGGCCCUGCUUUUGUGGGGUGCUCGAUUGGCGAACGGGUGAGUAACACGUGAGUAACCUGCCCUUGACUUUGGGAUAACUUCAGGAAACUGGGGCUAAUACCGGAUAGGAGCUCCUGCAGCAUGGUGGGGGUUGGUAAGAUUCGGCGGUUCGGGAUGGACUCGCGGCUUACGAGCUUGUUGGUGGGGUAGUGGCUUACCAAGGCUUCGACGGGUAGCCGGCCUGAGAGGGUGACCGGCCACAUGGGGACUGAGAUACGGCCCAGACUGCUACGGGAGGCAGCAGGGGGGAAUAUUGCACAAUGGGCGGAAGCCUGAUGCAGCGACGCUGGGUGCGUGAUGACGGCCUUCGGGUUGUGAACCGCUUUGGACUGUGACGAAGCGUGAGUGACGGUAAUUGGUCAAGAAGCCCCGGCUAACUACGUG
rnacentral:rRNA from 1 species